AGCUCGCUCCGGAGGAAUCUUCACAUUAAGAACCUAUUAUUAAAAUCGAUUUCACUCAUAAAUGCUUAAUGAGAUCAGGGGAUUGUUAAUUCAUUUGAGAUUAGUGUUUUAAUUGCGACGCUGUUAAGAGGUCAUUAAAAAUAACUUUGAUAAAUCUAGCUUUUGUAAUACAAGUGUGCAGCCUGUUCAUAGACUAAAUUUUGGUGAUUGAAAUGUCAAUGAAAUGAGCAUAAACGAAUAUAUGCGAACCCAACCAAUGUCGAGUCUGCAUUCACGUCAUCGGGAGGAUGGGCCGGGAGCAACAAUAAAUUAAUUCAUCAAGAAUGAAUCUCAGGAGACUGAGCACAGAACAAACAUUGUCUGGUUAUCGUCAACAUCCGCUCGCUCGUAUAUAGAAUCCCCACAAGUCCGUCACCACAGACACAGAUAUAACGCAGCAUCUAGUAACAGUCACGAUUUCGCAUUAAGCGUGCUCCGUGCUCUCAUAAUACUUCUAUGAACCGGCGUGCUGGCUGAGUUGUUAAGAAUAUGUCGUAUAUUAUAUGUGCACUUGAAGUAGGGCUGCCUUAAAACUGUCACUGCACAGAAUGUUGGAACAAUUUGAUUGAGCCCAUGCAAAUGGCCGGUGUCGGUCGGACGAUCUAUGUUUACUACGUUGGCAUUCAGAGCUGGAAAAAUGCCAAAAUGGCCGACGAAUCGGGAUAUUUACAUUCAACAUGCCGGCCGGUGAACUUUAAUUUACAAAACAUCAGACAUCAUCAGACGAAGAUAUACCAAAAAUAAAAUGUAACUUAUUUACUAAAUAUCAGUAACCAUAAUUAUGUUACGAGAUAAGAUCUGUGAAAUAAAAAUCAAAGUUGAAUGACUUCCAUAAGGUA